rnacentral:sRNA from 1 species
AACCACCGGCACGCGUCUCAGAUUUUUUCCCCCCUUUUGUUGUAUUAAGGUAUGGUAUAUAGGGGGGAAAAUCUGAGACAAGUGCCUGUGGAUUUAACGGG